AACGAACGCUGGCGGCGCGUUUAAGCAUGCAAGUCGAGCGGCAAGGCCUCGGCCCUAGAGCGGCGGACGGGUGAGUAACACGUGGACAAUCUGCCCCCCGGCCCGGGAUAGCCCAGGGAAACCUGGAUUAAUACCGGAUGAGACGGGACCCGCGAUGGCGGGAUCCGGGAAAGGCGCUGCGGCGCCGCCGGGGGAUGAGUCUGCGUCCCAUUAGCUAGACGGCGGGGUAACGGCCCACCGUGGCGACGAUGGGUAGCCGGCCUGAGAGGGUGGACGGCCACAUUGGAACUGAGACACGGUCCAGACUCCUACGGGAGGCAGCAGCUAAGAAUCUUCCGCAAUGGGCGAAAGCCUGACGGAGCGACGCCCGCGUGAACGAAGAAGGCCGUGUAGGUUGUAAAGUUCUUUUCGGGGAGGGGGAACAACCGUGGCAGGGAAUGGCCGCGGGAUGACGUGAAUCCCGGAAUAAGCCCCGGCUAACUACGUGCCAGCAGCCGC
rnacentral:rRNA from 1 species